CGGCGCAAGGGUGAGUAACACGUAGGUAACCUGCCUACAGGACGGGGAUAACUCCGAGAAAUCGGGGCUAAUACCCGAUAAUGUCCCGACACAGCAUUGUGACGGAAUCAAAAGCCGAAAGGUGCCUAUAGAUGGGCCUGCGUUCCAUUAGGUUGUUGGCGGGGUAACGGCCCACCAAGCCUACGAUGGGUAGCUGGUCUGAGAGGAUGAUCAGCCACACUGGAACUGAGACACGGUCCAGACUCCUACGGGAGGCAGCAGUGAGGAAUAUUGCGCAAUGCCCGAAAGGGUGACGCAGCGACGCCGCGUGGAGGAUGAAGGCCCUAUGGGUCGUAAACUCCUUUUGAGGGGGAAGAAUAGUCCCGUACAGCGGGAUUCGACGGUACCUCUCGAAUAAGCACCGGCUAACUACGUGCCAGCAGCCGCGGUAAUACGUAGGGUGCGAGCGUUGUCCGGAAUCACUGGGUGUAAAGGGUCCGCAGGCGGGUUGGUAAGUCGGUGGUGAAAUUCUCAGGCUUAACCUGGGGACUGCCACUGAUACUGCCAGUCUUGAGUACGGAAGAGGAAGAUGGAAUUCCUGGUGUAGCGGUGAAAUGCGUAGAUAUCAGGAAGAACACCGGUGGCGAAGGCGGUCUUCUGGUCCGUCACUGACGCUCAGGGACGAAAGCGUGGGGAGCAAACAGGAUUAGAUACCCUGGUAGUCCACGCUCUAAACGAUGGAUACUCGAUGUCGGCCCCGCUGAGUUCAUGCAUGUCAUGAGCCCAGCGGGGUCGGUGUCCAAGCUAACGCGUUAAGUAUCUCACCUGGGGAGUACGAUCGCAAGGUUGAAACUCAAAGGAAUUGACGGGGGCCCGCACAAGCAGUGAGCAUGUGGUUCAAUUCG
rnacentral:rRNA from 1 species